rnacentral:siRNA from 1 species
UUGAAAGCUUACAAUAACAAAUAU